CCGGACCUACGGGAGGCAGCAGUAGGGAAUCUUCCACAAUGGACGAAAGUCUGAUGGAGCAACGCCGCGUGAGUGAAGAAGGGUUUCGGCUCGUAAAGCUCUGUUGGUAGUGAAGAAAGAUAGAGGUAGUAACUGGCCUUUAUUUGACGGUAAUUACUUAGAAAGUCACGGCUAACUACGUGCCAGCAGCCGCGGUAAUACGUAGGUGGCAAGCGUUGUCCGGAUUUAUUGGGCGUAAAGCGAGUGCAGGCGGCUUAAUAAGUCUGAUGUGU
rnacentral:rRNA from 1 species